AGCGAACGCUGGCGGCAGGCCUAACACAUGCAAGUCGAACGAACCCUUCGGGGUUAGUGGCGGACGGGUGAGUAACACGUGGGAACGUGCCUUUAGGUUCGGAAUAACUCAGGGAAACUUGUGCUAAUACCGAAUGUGCCCUUCGGGGGAAAGAUUUAUCGCCUUUAGAGCGGCCCGCGUCCGAUUAGCUAGUUGGUGAGGUAAUGGCCCACCAAGGCUACGAUCAGGAGCUGGUCUGAGAGGAUGACCAGCCACAUUGGGACUGAGACACGGCCCAGACUCCUACGGGAGGCAGCAGUGGGGAAUCUUGCGCAAUGGGCGAAAGCCUGACGCAGCCAUGCCGCGUGGAUGAUGAAGGGCUUAGGAUUGUAAAAUCCUUUCACCGGUGAAGAUAAUGACUGUAGCCGGAGAAGAAGCCCCGGCUAACUUCGUGCCAGCCGCCGCCGUAAGAC
rnacentral:rRNA from 1 species